CGAGUCUGAUGGAGCACGCCGCGUGAGUGAAGAAGGGUUUCGGCUCGUAAAACUCUGUUGUUAAAGAAGAACAUAUCUGAGAGUAACUGUUCAGGUAUUGACGGUAUUUAACCAGAAAGCCACGGCUAACUACGUGCCAGCAGCCGCGGUAAUACGUAGGUGGCAAGCGUUGUCCGGAUUUAUUGGGCGUAAAGCGAGCGCAGGCGGUUUUUUAAGUCUGAUGUGAAAGCCUUCGGCUCAACCGAAGAAGUGCAUCGGAAACUGGGAAACUUGAGUGCAGAAGAGGACAGUGGAACUCCAUGUGUAGCGGUGAAAUGCGUAGAUAUAUGGAAGAACACCAGUGGCGAAGGCGGCUGUCUGGUCUGUAACUGACGCUGAGGCUCGAAAGUAUGGGUAGCAAACAGGAUUAGAUACCCUGGUAGUCCAUACCGUAAACGAUGAAUGCUAAGUGUUGGAGGGUUUCCGCCCUUCAGUGCUGCAGCUAACGCAUUAAGCAUUCCGCCUGGGGAGUACGGCCGCAAGGCUGAAACUCAAAGGAAUUGACGGGGGCCCGCACAAGCGGUGGAGCAUGUGGUUUAAUUCGAAGCUACGCGAAGAACCUUACCAGGUCUUGACAUACUAUGCAAAUCUAAGAGAUUAGACGUUCCCUUCGGGGACAUGGAUACAGGUGGUGCAUGGUUGUCGUCAGCUCGUGUCGUGAGAUGUUGGGUUAAGUCCCGCAACGAGCGCAACCCUUAUUAUCAGUUGCCAGCAUUAAGUUGGGCACUCUGGUGAGACUGCCGGUGACAAACCGGAGGAAGGUGGGGAUGACGUCAAAUCAUCAUGCCCCUUAUGACCUGGGCUACACACGUGCUACAAUGGAUGGUACAACGAGUUGCGAACUCGCGAGAGUAAGCUAAUCUCUUAAAGCCAUUCUCAGUUCGGAUUGUAG
rnacentral:rRNA from 2 species